rnacentral:piRNA from 1 species
UAGUCAGUCGUUGAAAUGCACUGGCCUGG